CUGUGUGAGCUCAGAAGGCAGGACUCACAGGACCGUCACCACCAUGGCCUGGUCCCCUCUCCUCCUCACCCUCCUUGCUCACUGCACAGGUAA
rnacentral:pre_miRNA from 1 species